rnacentral:rRNA from 1 species
CCUACGGGCGGCAGCAGUGGGGAAUAUUGCACAAUGGGCGAAAGCCUGAUGCAGCAACGCCGCGUGAAGGAAGACUGUUUUCGGAUUGUAAACUUCUGUUCUUAAUGAAGUAUAAUGACGGUAACUAAGGAGCAAGCCACGGCUAACUACGUGCGAGCAGCCGCGGUAAUACGUAGGAGGCAAGCGUUGUCCGGAUUUACUGGGUGUAAAGGGAGCGUAGGCGGGAAGCCAAGUCAGAUGUGAAAAGUACGGGCUUAACCUUUAGACUGCAGUUGAAACUGGCAUUCUUGAGUGAAGUAGAGGUUGGCGGAAUUCCGAGUGUAGCGGUGAAAUGCGUAGAUAUUCGGAGGAACACCGGUUGCGAAGGCAGCCAACUGGGCUUUAACUGACGCUGAGGCUCGAAAGUGUGGGGAGCAAACAGGAUUAGAUACCCGAGUAGUC